UCAGCUGAGGUACUCGCUACUCAGAGCCCAAGUAAGCACUGCAGCAACCAAUCCUAGGCUAGUGCAUUUUCCUACUGUAGUAACCAAUCCUAGGCUAGUGCCUUUUCCUACACAUCUUAAAACUACAACCCAUCUGCUAUAAUUGUUAGGAUGAUGUAAAGCCUGCUACCUGGCCAUUGCAACCACAUUCUUAAAUCUGAGACAUACUUUUAAGGAUGUUUCAACUCUGCUGUUGCAAUGACAAUGCAGUUCAGCAUAUGAAACUGAACAACCAAUCUACGAAAAAGUGCCUACUCGGCUACUUGGCAUGCGACGAGAAAGUAGUAAACUCGCCAGUGAGCAAAAGAACAACGUAGGGCUUUAUGGAUCUUCACCUUGCUGUUCGUCAUGCAUCAUCUUCAUCGGAUAUUUCUUUUCUCAACCGAUGUAUCAGAGACCUGGAAGAAAGCAACAACAAACAUAUAACUCGGUAAACUCGGGAAAGCAUAGUUGUCAGGUAGUAGUAGCUGUGGAUUAGUAUCGUUAGCCUGGAUGUCAAAAUAAAAGUGAGUUAAUGCACCUGAUAAAUAUUGCCUUGGCUAGGCUAUUCCUUUCAGCUUUCACCCAUCUCAGGAACCCACCCAACUAUCUUCACUCGAUGUGAAGGCAAUAUGCUGCCAUCAAUAGCUGGUGUAACUGUAUAUACCACAACAAGAAAAGCAGAAACGGUAAGGGAGUACAUGAAAACAAACAUAAGAGUGCGCAAUAGAAAAGAUUGAAAUACCAUUACAAAUAGUGACCACCUAUCGGUCUUGAAGCCUGGUAGAGCGCAUGUUUAUUCAUUUGAUUGAGAAGUAUCCACCUAUCGGUCGUGAAACUGAGUUUUUUUCUUUCAAGUUUCUAUCUCUUUCCCUUGGCGAAGCAUCUCACAAAAGGAAUAACUGUAAAUGAAAGAUCAAGAAAAACACAGGAAUAAUGUUACAUAUGUUGUUCCCAUUAAUUAUUCGGCAAUAUUAACAUAUGUUUAAUUUAUCUUUCUGAAUGAUGGAAUGAGGAGGGAUAUAUUUCAUGGAAUAGAGCAAAAGAUAGAAACUUGAAAGAAAAAAAUCAGUGCGUGCAGAUGAAAAAGAUCAUAUAAAAUGGGUAAUCACCAAUCAGGAAAUAUGCAUUAUAUAUAAUGCAUUUUCUUAAAAAAGCAUCAAUGAAUAAUCACCUGAACUAAAACAAUACAUCAUCCGUGAGUGAGAAAAUAGCAGGAACAUGAUUUGUGUUGUAGUUCUCUGGCUGAUACUACACAUGAGCUGUUGUUGCCGCUGCAGGAGCUCAGGGGCAAGGAGAGUAGACGCACGUGCUUGCUGGAGCUCCUUGGCAGCGGUGGUCACUGCUGCUGCUGCACCGCACUGGCCAGUCGAAAGCGCAGAUGCAACCAAGGGAGUCCCACUGCCCUAGCACAAGCGCACAUUAAAUGGAAAAACUCAAAUCCCCAACAAGAACUCAUUCUUUUACCACAAACUCACGGAAAAACACAAGGAAGACAAAGAUAUUUCAAGAAAGCGAUGCUUGUUCCCAGUGAGAAAUAAAAGAUCUUAUUUGAAAUAUUAUAGGCAGAAAGAAAACAUCACAGAGCAAAUGGAAAUAUUAAAUGUUAACUAAAUUUGAUGCUUCAGUGUUCUCGUUGGAGAAAAUGGAAAUCCAUAGACACAGGGUAUGAUCAUAGGAAACACUUAAAUGCUAAAGAACAUGAACUGAGAUACAUCAUACAUGCAACACCUCUAUGUAAUUUUGUUCCUAGAUUUCACUCAGUUAGAAGUGUUGGCUUUAUUAUCUUUACUACCUAUUGGUCAAGGUUAAAACACUGAAACAAAUUUCAAAUCCUUAUAUAUUAAUUCAGGUUGUGAUGGUAGAGGAACAUUUGGACAUUGACUGCAGCUUCUCAUUCUAUCAGAAUUCAGUUAAGCUUAGUCCAGUUCAUGGGUCUGAAAAGUAUAGAUCACAACCACUUCAAAUACAUAGCACUGGAAAUGAGAUCAGCAGCGAAAACCACGAAUUGCGGCCUAGUAUUACAUAGUUAGAAGAAAUUUGUAGCCACGGAUUAUAGGAAUCACAACAUAGCGAGGGCAUUCUAUCUACGUUCAGCUGUCUAUUUUCAACAAGAAUCUACUUAUCAAUUAGUAAAUUUUAGUUUCAGUAUAUUUAUGUGAUUAUCAAAAUAUAACUCUGCAAUUCAUGAAAUUUUAUAUGAAUCAUAUGCUGAUAACAUGUCGGGUUAACACAUAUGAAUGGAACAACUUGGAAAAAAUAUAUCCGGCUAAGAAGACAGACCUAUAGGAAAUGCAUCAUUCAACCACUGGCCCGGGGCCCUCUAAAUCUCUAAUCACAUUGACAAUCAGCAAGCUUUGCACAAGGAACCUGCAAAGGACCUUGAAGAAAACAGGACAAAAUAACAUAGAGCUCAGUGUGCUACUGCGAUGCGAAGAGAUCAUCAAUUAAUAGAAGCAUGAUAAGUUAUCAAUGGAUAAGUGCCUAACAGAACGGCUACAAACAUGAGCAAUAUGGAAAACAAAUGAAUUGGAACAUGGCAUAGAAGAUGUGGAAAGAAUAGGGGCAAUGACCUGAUAUGGUCCAUGUCGGCAUACUCAUAUGUGCUUCUCAUGCAAAGUCCAUACCUGCAUAGUCGCUGCUGACAAUUAUUUUUAAUUGCAGAAGAACCAUUUUUCCACAAUGAUUAAGCAAAUGGCGUCAUGAUUUCAGUAACAAACUUUUGAUUAGUGCCCACAAUUUCUUAAUACAUCCAGACAGUAACACACUCUUGUUACUCACAUUUUUUUCAAAAUCUGUUUCCAAAAAAGAAACAUAACUUGUAAUUUUUAGCAUCGAGAAGCAUAUACGAUAAAAAAAGGAGUUGGUAUACGUUCACCAAGCAUAGAAUCUAAAAAUGAAUAAGUGAUGCCUAUGCUUUUUCUAAGCAACUACAGAAUCUGAUUUCUCAAUAAAAGGUGCAACAAAGAUUUUAAUUUGUAGAGAAUGGAGUUGGAUACGCCCGACAUUCAUAUGAAAUAUGAAAAAAGAAGAUAUUAAAACUCCAUCUAUAAUGUAAUGCCCGUGGGUUGUAGCAGUCCCUAUAUAUAAUAUCCAUUGGUUGUAGCAGUCCCUAUGUACAUCGAACCUGACCCUUAAUUUUGUAUGAUAGGCCAACACAGAUGGUGAGUACCUGCACGUUUUUUGACAUAAUCGAAACUGCAGCAUAUAUAGGAAGUAGAUCUUUUUAUGCAUUGCAUUAUUAUACCUUUGGGUUGAAGAUUAUGUACAAUAUCAUUCACCUCUUCUCAUUGACCAAAAUAAGCAAUCAAAAUAUGCUCUAAAA
rnacentral:lncRNA from 1 species